rnacentral:rRNA from 1 species
AUUGAACGCUGGCGGCAGGCCUAACACAUGCAAGUCGAGCGGUUGACGGGAGCUUGCUCCCUGAUUCAGCGGCGGACGGGUGAGUAAUGCCUAGGAAUCUGCCUAUUAGUGGGGGACAACGUUUCGAAAGGAACGCUAAUACCGCAUACGUCCUACGGGAGAAAGCAGGGGACCUUCGGGCCUUGCGCUAAUAGAUGAGCCUAGGUCGGAUUAGCUAGUUGGUGAGGUAAUGGCUCACCAAGGCGACGAUCCGUAACUGGUCUGAGAGGAUGAUCAGUCACACUGGAACUGAGACACGGUCCAGACUCCUACGGGAGGCAGCAGUGGGGAAUAUUGGACAAUGGGCGAAAGCCUGAUCCAGCCAUGCCGCGUGUGUGAAGAAGGUCUUCGGAUUGUAAAGCACUUUAAGUUGGGAGGAAGGGUUGUAGAUUAAUACUCUGCAAUUUUGACGUUACCGACAGAAUAAGCACCGGCUAACUCUGUGCCAGCAGCCGCCGUAAUAC